rnacentral:tRNA from 1 species
GCGGUUGUAGUAUAAUGGUUAUUACAUCUGGUUGUGGUCCGGAAGACGAGGGUUCAAUUCCCUCCUUCCGCC